rnacentral:rRNA from 1 species
GUCUAUGGCCAUGCUACCCUGAACAAGCUCAAUCCCAUCUGAUCUCAGAAGCUAAGCAGGGUCAGGCCUGGUUAGUACUUGGAUGGGAGACCACCUAGGAAGACCAGGUGUUGUAGGCG